UCGUAUUAUUCUUUUUGCAAAAACACUGAGCACCUCGGGCUGAGACUACCAUCGCUUCUGUUUCCAAGAGCGCUCCUCUGACACGAGACUCCGAACCAACUGUUGGUGGAUGUUUGUUUAAUCUGGUGGAGGUGGAUGCUGGCCACUUACGAAUACCAUCAGUUUUCCCGUGUGGACUUCAAAGAUCUCGCUGGCUUGGUGUGACUGGCUCUGCUUGGAGAUGGCUUCAGUCCUAUCUGGAUGGACGAGUCUAUCAAGUGUGACAGCAUUGUUCCAACCCACUAGCCUUUCCCCACCCAGACUUAUGUCACCCUCGCCUGAGUACUGCUAAGCAACACCCGUCUCUCAUUCCAGCUCCCUUUAUAACAUCCCAGUUUCCCCCCCUCAAACUUGUGAAGUAUUGUAUUCCUCUAUGCGUACCGAGUGUUCUUUAUCCUUACAAUUUCUCCUGGCUUUUGACCUCUGCUUCCUCCUCAGACUAUGCGUUGUUCCUAGCCCCUUGGAUUACUCGGGUUCAUGCCUGCUGACUUGUAGUGUGAAUAGUACCCUCGACUCUCCUUGUCCGAACUCCCCCAGCAUUGACGAGUACACUAGGUUUCCACCUCGCACGCAUUCCUGCCAGUACCAAUAAACGUGUGCACUUGGAUCCUCACUUACCUGUGUCUUGGAGUUCAUUACAUCAGGUGACAUGGAGAGGAUCCACAUCCAAACCGUGUGACUCUCCACUGGUGUUCCACAAGGCUCAG